rnacentral:rRNA from 1 species
AGCGGCGGACGGGUGAGUAACACGUAAGGAACCUGCCUCAAGGAUUGGGAUAACUCCGAGAAAUCGGAGCUAAUACCGGAUAGUUCAACGGACCGCAUGGUCCGCUGAUGAAAGGCGCUCCGGCGUCACCUUGAGAUGGCCUUGCGGUGCAUUAGCUAGUUGGUGGGGUAACGGCCCACCAAGGCGACGAUGCAUAGCCGACCUGAGAGGGUGAUCGGCCACACUGGGACUGAGACACGGCCCAGACUCCUACGGGAGGCAGCAGUAGGGAAUCUUCCACAAUGGACGAAAGUCUGAUGGAGCAACGCCGCGUGAGUGAUGAAGGUUUUCGGAUCGUAAAACUCUGUUGUAAGGGAAGAACACGUACGAGAGGAAAUGCUCGUACCUUGACGGUACCUUACGAGAAAGCCACGGCUAACUACGUGCCAGCAGCCGCGGUAAUACGUAGGUGGCAAGCGUUGUCCGGAAUUAUUGGGCGUAAAGCGCGCGCAGGCGGCCUUUUAAGUCUGAUGUGAAAGCCCCCGGCUCAACCGGGGAGGGCCAUUGGAAACUGGAAGGCUUGAGUACAGAAGAGAAGAGUGGAAUUCCACGUGUAGCGGUGAAAUGCGUAGAGAUGUGGAGGAACACCAGUGGCGAAGGCGACUCUUUGGUCUGUAACUGACGCUGAGGCGCGAAAGCGUGGGGAGCAAACA